rnacentral:lncRNA from 1 species
CAAACUAAAUUUGUAUAUCUUUGUAUUUUAUUCUGAUAAAAACAGCAGCUGAUGGUUUUGCAUGCUGAUCUUAUAUAAGCAACUUUGCUAAACUCUCUUAUUAAUUUCAGUAUUUGUUAAAAUAUUUUAUGUUUUUUUAAUUUUCCCACUGAGAAAAUCCAAAUUUAUUUUCAUCUUUUCUAAUGUUUUAUUAUUGUUGUUAUAACUAACUAGUUUUUCAUUGAGUAGGAUCUUCACCUCAAAAUGAAUACUGGUAGUGAUAGCAGUUUUAUUCUAGUAUUUAGUAAGAAUGCUUCCAAAGAAUCAUCAUGAAUUAUAAUAUAUACUCUUGUGAGAGUUUCUUUAGAUGACCUUGAUCAGAUUAAGGAAGUUAUUUUCUAUUGUGAGCUUGCUCAAAGUUUUAAUCAUGAAUGUGCAUAAUAUAACCAAAUAACUUUUCUGCUUGUAGUCGGAAGAAUAUGCAAAGUUUUCUACCUUUAUUGUGUUAAUAGCAUCUAUUACACCAAUAGAUUUUCUGAUAUUGACCUAUCCUUGCAUGCUUAAAAUAAACUGUAAUUUUUAUACAUUACUAGAUUCAAUUUAUCAAUUUUUAUGUAGAAUUUUUGCAUGUAUAAGAUUAGCCUACAAAUUUUUUUCUUGUACUGAACUUGUCCAGUGUGAUUAUUAAGAUAGUACUAGCUUUGUGAAAUGAAUUACAAAAUUUUCCCUUUUUCUGUUUCUGAGAAUAACUUGCAUAAUUUACAAAUGAAUCAUUGGUUCAUUGUAGGUUUUUUCAGACUUUCCUGAAAAAUAUCUGAACUUGGUACCUUGGGAGAUGAGCACUUUUGAAAGUUUUACAUUUUUAAGUAACUAUAAAAAUAUUCAUGUUUCUAUAGAUUUAUAAUAAAAUCUGGUAAUAUAUAAUUAAUUGUCUAGAAAAAUAUCUAUUUAAUAUGUUUCUAAAUUGUUAUAUCUAAAAUCCCUAUGUAAGUGUUAUAAUAUCUGUACUUAUAUUAGCUUUUUCAUCCUUAAUGAUGUUUUAUUUGUGCCUCCUCUCUUUAUUUGCCUUUCCACAGUAUUGUUAUUAGUAAUAUCUUUGCACCUUUACAAAAACAUAGCUCUUUACUUUCUUAUUCCCUCUAUGGUAUAUAGUCUAUUUAUUAAUUUCUUCAUCUAUUUUUAUCUUUCUACUUCUAAAAUUUUCUUUUAUUAUGAAACAGUACUAGGAUUCAGAAAAAAAUGGACACCAGUGAUUGGAUUUAAGCCUAUGGUAAUCCAGUAUAACCACAUUUAACUUAACUACUCUACUUGUAAAUGCUCUAUUUGCAAAUAAGGUCACAUUGUGAAGUUCUGAGUGAAUAUCACAUUUUGAGGAACACUAAAUCCUGUAAAAGGUGUUUUACCUCAUUAAUUGGAUUAAAGCAUUGAAUCUGAAUUUAGUCGCUUGACUUAGAAGUACCUUAUUCUUCCUUGGAAGCUGAUAUCAGAAACCACUGCUCAUUU